GCAGCCGCCGCGGUAAUACGAAGGGGGCUAGCGUUGUUCGGAAUUACUGGGCGUAAAGCGCACGUAGGCGGAUCGAUCAGUCAGGGGUGAAAUCCCAGGGCUCAACCCUGGAACUGCCUUUGAUACUGUCGAUCUGGAGUAUGGAAGAGGUGAGUGGAAUUCCGAGUGUAGAGGUGAAAUUCGUAGAUAUUCGGAGGAACACCAGUGGCGAAGGCGGCUCACUGGUCCAUUACUGACGCUGAGGUGCGAAAGCGUGGGGAGCAAACAGGAUUAGAUACCCGAGUAGUCCCUGUCUCUUAUAC
rnacentral:rRNA from 1 species